GACGAACGCUGGCGGCGUGCUUAACACAUGCAAGUCGAACGGAAAGGCCCUGCUUUUGUGGGGUGCUCGAGUGGCGAACGGGUGAGUAACACGUGAGUAACCUGCCCUUGACUUUGGGAUAACUUCAGGAAACUGGGGCUAAUACCGGAUAGGAGCUCCUGCUGCAUGGUGGGGGUUGGAAAGUUUCGGCGGUUGGGGAUGGCCUCGCGGCUUAUCAGCUUGUUGGUGGGGUAGUGGCUUACCAAGGCUUUGACGGGUAGCCGGCCUGAGAGGGUGACCGGCCACAUUGGGACUGAGAUACGGCCCAGACUCCUACGGGAGGCAACAGUGGGGAAUAUUGCACAGUGGGCGGAAGCCUGAUGCAGCAACGCCGCGUGCGGGAUGACGGCCUUCGGGUUGUAAACCGCUUUCGCCUGUGACGACGCGUGAGUGACGGUAAUGGGUAAUGGAGCACCGGCUAUCUACGU
rnacentral:rRNA from 1 species